rnacentral:rRNA from 1 species
CCUACGGGAGGCAGCAGUGGGGAAUAUUGGACAAUGGGCGCAAGCCUGAUCCAGCAAUACCGCGUGGGUGAUGAAGGUCUUCGGAUUGUAAAGCCCUUUUAGUAGAGAAGAUAAUGACGGUAUCUACAGAAAAAGCACCGGCAAACUUCGUGCCAGCAGCCGCGGUAAUACGAAGGGUGCUAGCGUUGUUCGGAAUCACUGGGCGUAAAGGGUACGUAGGCGGUUUGGUAAGUCGAUUGUGAAAGCCCCAGGCUCAACCUGGGAACUGCAAUCGAAACUACUUUACUUGAGUUUGGUAGGGGAUGGUGGAAUUCCUAGUGUAGGGGUGAAAUCCGUAGAGAUUAGGAAGAACACCAGUGGCGAAGGCGACCAUCUAUGCCAAUACUGACGCUGAGGUACGAAAGCGUGGGGAGCAAACAGGAUUAGAUACCCUGGUAGUCCACGCCCUAAACGAUGAAUGCUAGUUGUCGGGGCCUUAGGCUUCGGCGGCGAAGUUAACACGAUAAGCAUCGCGUCGGGAGGUACGGUCGCAGAACUAAACUACAAGAAGUAGACGCGUGAGACGUGCCGACGGACGACGACGAGGGGAGGAGG